rnacentral:rRNA from 1 species
GCGAACAGGUGUCAGGUCUACCGGUAAAUAUGAUGGGUGGAGUGUGUAAUGGGAAUGACGGAGCGUAAAGGGGUCGUAGGGGGUUAUGUAAGUCUGCAGGGAAAUCCCCGGGGUCAUCCUGGGAAUGGCGGUGGAUACUGGAUAGCUAGAGGGGGUCAGAGGAUGGUGGAAUUCCCGGUGUAGCGGUGAAAUGCGUAGAGAUCGGGAGGAACAUCAGUGGCGAAGGCGGCCAUCUGGGACAACACUGACGCUGAAGCACGAAAGCGUGGGGAGCAAACAGGAUUAGAUACCCCUGUAGUC